rnacentral:rRNA from 1 species
UACAGAGGGGGCGAGCGUUGUUCGGAAUUACUGGGCGUAAAGGGCGCGUAGGCGGCCCGCUAAGUCGAACGUGAAAUCCCCGGGCUCAACCCGGGAACUGCGUCCGAUACUGGUGGGCUUGAAUCCGGGAGAGGGAUGCGGAAUUCCAGGUGUAGCGGUGAAAUGCGUAGAUAUCUGGAGGAACACCGGUGGCGAAGGCGGCAUCCUGGACCGGCAUUGACGCUGAGGCGCGAAAGCCAGGGGAGCGAACGGG